rnacentral:ncRNA from 1 species
CGGCGACGCUAGGGGUCCUGGCUGUUUUGGCGGUACAUAACAGCCGGGUGAGAAACACCCUCAAACCUGAUCUGGAUAAUGCCAGCGAAGGGAAGCUCUCGGAACCGCAG